rfam:Schistosoma haematobium scaffold163_37, whole genome shotgun sequence.
GCUCUGCUGAGGUGUCCCAGUAUAGGACGAAACGGCCGUCCAGUGC